UAUAAUUAUAACAUAUAUUUUUAUUUUACUUAUUUUAGGUCUGUGAAGCCAAACUUGAUGCUGGGGAUUUAUUUUUGUCAGUGGAGUCAAAUGGUCUAGAUGAUCACAUCUGUCUUUGUCAUUUAAAUGAGGUGGACUUGCAAACUUUGCGCUCUUUGGGGUUGAAGCAGAAUUUGCCCGUCUUACAUCUGUUGACCUGAAAGGGUUCCUUUUUGCUGUGCUUGACCAUUAUGGAGAGGUUCGUGGAGCUGUACAAAAUCAAGAGCGGCAUAGAAAGGCUAACUAGGCUCAUAAAAUGCUUCAAUGAUGAUAGCCCUACACAAAGGAAGAGGACAGAGGACCUCAUUUUCUAAAGGAAGAUCCCUCACACACUUUCAAGACUGUGAAGCCGACAGGUAUUGAAGACACGUUUUCUAAGAGGAUGAAAGUUGGCAUUGUGAUGGUG